UUUUUAUUUGAGAGGUAUAUUCUAAUGUCAAAGGAAAAGAAGAAAUUGAAUAAGAGAAAUACCACCCUUGCAAAUUCCUUAAAUUGUCCAUAAAGAACAUUACGCAAAGAUUGGAAAGUGCGGCUCUUAUAUUAUUACAGGAGCACAAAUUAAAUAUAUCUAAUGACUAUGUUAUGUACGUAAUUAUAUUAUACACGUACACACAAUACAGAAUGAUGGCGAGCGGAGCACGUGAAGCAACGAAUGUCACCAUCCCCUGACGAUGGGAGCAUAACCUGGUGCACCACUUAGACGGCAUGACCUAGCAAAGGCAUGUGAAUUACCACAAAUACCUCCCUUGGGUCUGUCCCACUCGUGCAACCCGACUCGCCACACUGACAAUCCCGACCCAGAAAGGAAAAGAUUAAGAAAGGGAACUGCUGUCCUGGACUUGAUUCCGAUCAACAAGGAAGAACAGAUUGAUGAAGCAGAAGUGACGGGAACCUUGGGAGAAAGGGACUGUGUCACGUUGGCGGUUGUUAUUGUGAAUGAAAGAAACAUUGGCUCUUGUCAGAUAAGUCACUUUUGGAAAGAAGGCUUCAAACCUCCCCAUCAGUCUGGUGCCAGGGAUAGACUCUCAAAGAACAGGGGCCAUAUCCCCAAACCAAAAGUCAGGACGUGUCAUCAGACAACAGAUUUUUAUGGUGCGAUUGGUGCGAUGGAAACUCUGAAGAAAAGAAGGCUGGGUGUCGAAACGCGUGUUCUAGCACUCGUUUGAAUGUCUAUGGGGAUAACAGACCAUUAAAUAUGGGUGCCUCAAACUUUAUAGCAUCGGGACACUGAAGGAGAUGUUGGGAGGCUCUAAACUAGAAAUUCUCAGGAUGUAACUGAGUUGGUACCUAUUAAGAAGACAUGAGGGCAGGUACAGAAAACAACUUUCCUGUACAAGAAGCUCUCUGAUGAACAUUCAUUUUUUAAAGGAAUGAAGGAAGAAUGGUUUGACCAAAAAAUAUAGAAAACACCAACUCAGCUGAAAAAGAAGAAAGCAUAUUAUCCUCAUAGACGUGCGCACUGGGGAUGGGCUCCAGGCGUGGGAGUGUUGGCUCACCUCGGGCAAGGCAAAACUGAAGAAUGUGGUAUCUUCAUCAAUUCAGGUUACUAUAACACAUUAUCACAGAAUGAAUGGCUUGUGCAACAAA